rnacentral:tRNA from 2 species
GGCAGGAUAGCUCAAUGGUAGAGCACUGGGUUGACAGCCCAGAGAGGACGGGUUCAAAUCCCUCUCCUGCCA